AUUGAACGCUGGCGGCAGGCCUAACACAUGCAAGUCGAGCGGAGCGGCGGACGGGUGCGUAAUGCCUAGGAAUCUGCCUGGAAGUGGGGGAUAACGUCCGGUAACGGGCGCUAAUACCGCAUACUAUCAGAUGAGCCUAGGUCGGAUUAGCUAGGUGGUGGGGUAAAGGCCUACCAAGGCGACGACCCGUAGCUGGUCUGGGAGGAUGAUCAGUCACACUGGAACUGAGGCACGGUCCAUACUCCUACGGGAGGCAGCAGUGGGGAAUAUUGGACAAUGGGGGGAUCCCUGACCGAGCAACGCCGCGUGUAUGAAGAAGGCCUUCGGGUUGUAAAGUACUUUCAGCGGGGAGGCGUUACCCGCAGAAGAAGCACCGGCUAACUCCGUGCCAGCAGCCGCGGUAAUAC
rnacentral:rRNA from 1 species